rnacentral:rRNA from 1 species
AUGGCCGUGGAGGUUCGCCGCAGGGCGCCGCACGGGGGCGCGCGCCCCGCGGAGGGGAGGGGGGAGAGGGCCGGGGCGCGGGUGCAGGCCGGGGACGCGCUGCCGCUGCCGAUCCGCCACACCAACCUCAUCUUCUCCGCGCUCUUCGCCGCCUCGCUCGCCUACCUCAUGCGCCGCUGGCGGGAGAAGAUCCGCUCCUCCACGCCUCUCCACGUCGUCGGCCUCACCGAGAUCUUCGCCAUCUGCGGCCUCGUCGCCUCGCUCAUCUACCUCCUCAGCUUCUUCGGCAUCGCCUUCGUCCAGUCCGUCGUCUCCAACAGCGACGACGAGGACGAGGACUUCCUCAUCGCCUCCGCCCAGCCCAAGCCCGCCCCCGCCCCCGCCCCCGCGCAGUGCGCGCUGCUGCAGAGCGCCGGCCCCGCGCCCGAGGUAAUGCCGGAGGAGGACGAGGAGAUCGUGUCCCAGGUCGUCGCCGGCAAGAUCCCCUCCUACGUCCUGGAGACGAAGCUGGGAGAUUGCCGCCGGGCCGCCGGGAUCCGCCGCGAGUCGCUGCGCAGGAUCACGGGGAGGGAGAUCAACGGCCUCCCGCUCGACGGCUUCGACUACGCCUCCAUUCUCGGCCAGUGCUGCGAGAUGCCCGUGGGGUACGUGCAGCUGCCGGUGGGUGUCGUCGGGCCGCUCCUCCUCGACGGCCGCCGGCUCUACGUCCCGAUGGCCACCACCGAGGGCUGCCUCGUCGCCAGCACCAACCGUGGAUGCAAGGCCAUUGCCGAGUCUGGCGGUGCUUCCAGCGUCGUGUUCCGUGACGGGAUGAGCCGAGCCCCCGUCGCCAGGUUCCCAACCGCCCGCCGCGCCGCCGAGCUCAUGAGAUUCUUGGAGAACCCGGACAAUUUCGACACUCUGUCUGUCGUCUUUAGCAGAUCAACGAGAUUCGGAAGGCUGCAGGGGGUCAAAUGCGCGUUGGCAGGAAGGAACCUGUACAUGAGGUUCACCUGCAGCACUGGUGAUGCCAUGGGGAUGAACAUGAUCUCCAAGGGCGUGCAACAUGUGCUGGACUACCUAGAGGAGGAUUUCCCUGAUAUGGAUGUCGUCAGCAUCUCAGGCAAUUUUUGUUCUGACAAGAAAUCAGCAGCUGUAAAUUGGAUCGAGGGGCGUGGUAAGUCCGUGGUUUGUGAGGCAAUAAUCAGAGAGGAAGUUGUACAGAAGGUUCUCAAGACCAACGUUCAGUCACUCGUCGAGUUGAACGUGAUCAAGAACCUUGCUGGUUCAGCUGUUGCUGGAGCUCUUGGGGGUUUCAAUGCCCACGCAAGCAACAUUGUAUCAGCUAUCUUCAUUGCCACUGGUCAGGAUCCUGCACAAAACGUUGAGAGCUCACAGUGUAUCACGAUGUUGGAAGCUGUAAAUGGUGGCAGAGACCUUCACAUCUCCGUUACUAUGCCAUCCAUUGAGGUGGGCACAGUUGGUGGAGGCACGCAGCUGGCCUCACAGUCGGCCUGCUUGGACCUACUGGGAGUCAAAGGCGCCAACAGGGAAUCUCCCGGAUCGAAUGCUAGGCUGCUUGCCACGGUGGUGGCUGGUGCGGUCCUGGCUGGCGAGCUGUCCCUUAUCUCUGCUCAGGCUGCCGGCCAUCUGGUCCAGAGCCACAUGAAAUACAACAGAUCCAGGAAGGAUAUGUCCAAUGCCGCCGCUUGCUGA